AACGAACGCUGGCGGCAUGCCUAACACAUGCAAGUCGAACGAGACCUUCGGGUCUAGUGGCGCACGGGUGCGUAACGCGUGGGAACCUGCCCUUAGGUUCGGAAUAACUCCCCGAAAGGGGUGCUAAUACCGGAUAAUGUCUUCGGACCAAAGAUUUAUCGCUUUUGGAUGGGCCCGCGUUGGAUUAGCUAGUUGGUAGGGUAAAAGCCUACCAAGGCGACGAUCCAUAGCUGGUCUGAGAGGAUGAUCAGCCACACUGGGACUGAGACACGGCCCAGACUCCUACGGGAGGCAGCAGUGGGGAAUAUUGGACAAUGGGCGAAAGCCUGAUCCAGCAAUGCCGCGUGAGUGAUGAAGGCCUUAGGGUUGUAAAGCUCUUUUACCCGGGAUGAUAAUGACAGGACCGGGAGAAUAAGCUCCGGCUAACUCCGA
rnacentral:rRNA from 1 species